rnacentral:misc_RNA from 1 species
GAUGAGAGUUUUUAACUGUCCACUGUCAUCAUUCCAAAAUAACAACAAAGCCCAUGGUCAUUGCAAUUCUCUAUACAAACAAAUUUAAGUGUGUAAGACAAUUAUGAAAGAUCCUCAGAAUUGCCCAAAAACUAGACACUGUAGUAACCCUCUUCUUUUGGUUAAUGCCAUUUCUGAGUAAUCAAAUAUAUAACCCAAUUCUCUUAAGUUGUUAAUUUCUGAACGAUGAAACAUAAUUUUGUCCUUGUCAAUCCCGGAUUUGGAAAAUGAGAUAUUAAACCCAUAGCCAAAAAGAAACAACCCAGCCUUCAUUUUUUU